UUCGGUACAUCGGUGACAGGUGGUGCAUGGUUGUCGUCAGCCCGUGUCGUGAGAUGUUGGGUUAAGUCCGCAACGAGCGCAACCCCUAUUGUUAGUUGCCAUCAUUCAGUUGGGCACUCUAGCGAGACUGCCGGUAAUAAACCGGAGGAAGGUGGGGAUGACGUCAAAUCAUCAUGCCCCUUAUGACCUGGGCUACACACGUGCUACAAUGGUUGGUACAACGAGUUGCGAGUCGGUGACGGCGAGCUAAUCUCUUAAAGCCAAUCUCAGUUCGGAUUGUAGGCUGCAACUCGCCUACAUGAAGUCGGAAUCGCUAGUAAUCGCGGAUCAGCACGCCGCGGUGAAUACGUUCCCGGGCCUU
rnacentral:rRNA from 1 species